GACGAACGCUGGCGGCGUGCUUAACACAUGCAAGUCGAACGGAAAGGCCCUGCUUGCAGGGUACUCGAGUGGCGAACGGGUGAGUAACACGUGGGUGAUCUGCCCUGCACUUCGGGAUAAGCCUGGGAAACUGGGUCUAAUACCGGAUAGGAGCCAUUUUUAGUGUGAUGGUUGGAAAGUUUUUUCGGUGUAGGAUGAGCUCGCGGCCUAUCAGCUUGUUGGUGGGGUAAUGGCCUACCAAGGCGGCGACGGGUAGCCGGCCUGAGAGGGUGGACGGCCACAUUGGGACUGAGAGACGGCCCAGACUCCUACGGGAGGCAGCAGUGGGGAAUAUUGCACAAUGGGCGCAAGCCUGAUGCAGCGAGGCCGCGUGGGGGAUGACGGCCUUCGGGUUGUAAACUCCUUUCGCUAGGGACGAAGCUUUUUGUGACGGUACCUAGAGAAGAAGCACCGGCUAACUACGUG
rnacentral:rRNA from 1 species